rnacentral:lncRNA from 1 species
UGGUGCUGGGCUCAGCCUGGUGGCUGGGGAGCUGCUGCAGCCGGUGCCUCAGGAGAGUCUGGGCUGGGAGACCCCACAGCCUCGGCCUGUGAUGGGCAACACACCCUGCUGUCACUCCUGCAGGGGACACUGGGGGAGCACAGGCACCUCCAGGCAGCCUCCUGCCUCCUGCUGACCCCAGGCCACCACAGCCCUCUCUCCAGCAUGGCUCCCCCACCGGCCGGGCCUCUCAGUGCUGCUGCUCCACCCGAGGACCCAGGGCCGCCUCCGGACUGCAGAUGGCUUUUCCUGAGCGCCAACAUUCUGCCUGUGGGUGAGUGAGAUUGUGCCGGGCCAGGCAGAGUGGUUCUCCUGCCAAGGGACUGUUCCCAGAGCCCCAGGGAGCACGGACCUCCCGUGAGGGCCCCGAGGGUGCAUCGUGGUCGG